UUUCUAGAUCCAUUUGAUUUGAUUAUCUCCAAAAGUUACAACUUACGCCUACAAAUUCUUCAACGUGGAAUUGGGUUUUGGCUAGCUAUAUUUAAGCUUGAUUUUACUCUAUUCAAGGUAAUUUUGUGGUUUAGAUAAAAUCACAAUUGAAAACCCUAAAUCGAUCGAAGUCAGUGGCUAUUCAAAAUCCUGUUAAAGCUCUGUUGCAAUUGUCGCUAUAGAGUCUGAAGGUAUUUACAACUUCUUCGUUCACAUGCAAUUGUGACCCCCAUAAACUUAAAAGUCCUGUAUUUUGAUCAUUGAUAGAUUGGUUUAGUGAAAUAUUGGUAGUUUAGGGAUUCAACAAAGUGGAAAUUAACUACAAUUAAGAUGUGGGUAAUUUGAGAUCUUGUACUAAUUUGGUUUUUCUAGGAUUUAAGUUAGUGGCAAUUUAGUAAUACUUGGGGACUAGGAAACUGAGUUUUUGUACUGAUGUGGGUAGUCUACUAAAUUAAAAAAUUGAGAUUUUGGAUUUAAGGACAUGUUGUGCUCCCUCCAUCGCAAAAUAAGUGUUACCUUAACCAAAAAUCAUGUGCAUUAAGAAAUCAACAAGUACAAUGUGUAGUUUACAAAACUAUUAAGGGUAUAGUUGAAAAAAUGUACUAAGUUUUGUCUUGAAUUCCUAAGCUAACAUUUAUUUUGUGAUGGAGGGAGUAUGUCUCUUCUUUUAAAAAAAAAUUGUUUUAAUUGAAUAUUGAUUGGUUCAUAGACUAGGUUCUAGCAUCAUGGGACUGGAUAAAACCUCUGAUAAACCUUUAUUCCCUGCAACCUAAAUAUUGCAAAAUAGACCCUAUAUGAGCAGGUAGCUGUUGGAGCUAUGAAUGGUCAGUUUAUUGAUGUGGCAAAGGUAAAUACAAAUUUCCAGUUAUCGUGAACUAAAAUUUUGUUCCCUCUUUGAGGUUCACUUGGGAGAUGUACAUGGUUUUCCCGUUUAGUUUAUUUUAGAAUUUUUUGAGUUGCAAAAGUCAUGUAAAUAGAAGUUUAAUCAAAUGAUCGCAGAUUCUUCUUAUCUCAAUAUGUUUCCUUAAUAAAGAUUCCUAGAUAGCAAAAAUCAACAGUUUAUACAGUACAAUAAUGUAAAAUGUAUCAUACCGUACCCGAGAGCAUAGCUAUGAUUGGACUAUGUGUAAUUUGAAGAGAAAUAUUCUGGCACAAUUUAAUAUUUAAAGGAUGUCACACAACAACAAAUUGCCAUUGUUUAUCCAAAUCUAAAAAAAAUAGUUAUUUGACUGUUAUUUCCUAUAAAGGUGUAGAUUUACACUUACAAUUACUCAACUAUGUGGUUAAAUUUACUUAGUUAUGAAGUAAAUGUGACCAUGUAGUCAACCAUAUUCACCAAGAUGCAUUAGCCAUUUUUCAUAUCAUGUUCUCUCUUCAUUUGAUUCAUAUGUGUUAGAGAUUGUCUUAUGAAGCUCUCGCCGCUUUAUGAUUAUGUGGAAAAUCAUUUGAAAUUUUUGUUGUGGAAACUUCUGCAGGACUGCAUAAAGGUUUUGCAAAGAAAGUUUCAAGGAAGAAAAAGGGUUGGGGGUGAAAGAGUGUGUAAAUCAAGCUGAAAUUGGUUUUAUGAUGUCUCCAAUCUACCAUCCAGCGAUGAAGAUUGUCAGACCUAUCAGGAAAAAACUGAAAGUAAAGAUAGUGUUCAACAUCUUGGGACCUAUGUUGAACCCAGCAAGAGUGUCAUUUGCUGUCAUAGGUGUAUAGAAAGAUGACCUGUACAGAGAUUUGGCAUGAAAAGAGCAUUGGUUGUUCACUCGGAAGGCCUAGAUGAGACGAGUCCUCUUGUUCGUUUCACAGGCCGUGGAUUAGUCCUUGAUGUCACACCAGAUAAUAUUGAGAAGUUCUUCUUUGAUUCAUUGAACUUUGGCAUCCCUCGCUGCACUCUUGAAAGUUUGCGAGGUGAAAGUCUAGAGUACAAUGCAGAGAUGCUCAGACAUAUGCUCUCAGGAGAAAAAGGGUUGAUUGUUGAUGCAUUUGCGCUAAAUGCAUCAGCUGCUCUCUUGGUAAGGGUGGAAGAGAUUUGUCAUGAUUGCCCUUUCAACUGAAAAUAAGUUGAGUUUCAUUAAUGGAUCUGAAGCUACACCUUUCGAUGAUUCUCUAGAUUUGCAAGCCUAGAGAAGAUGUAAUCAUAUAAUCAUAUCUUGGAUUUUAAAUUCAAUAUCAAAGAAGAUCCGCAAACAGUGUGAUCUACUAAAAAACAUCUAAGGAUCUCUCGAUCAAUUUGGAGUAGAGGUUUGAUCAAUUUAAUAGAGCAAAGCUAUAGCACCUACAACAAGAACUUUACAGGUUAACACAAGGCAAUAAUUGUAUUACAGACGACCAGUGGCAGUUUGGAAAUUCUAUCUUUAUAUAAGGGCAAAAUAAUAAUUGAAGUCAUCAGUGAUAAAAAAAAGAACUCUAGAAGUAUCCAGAUUUGAUUAGUACCGCAUGGAUCCGGAUGAGGCGUACUUCAUAAAAUCCUGAAAGGCUCUUGGUGCACAAGUUGCCUUUACUUUUUCAGCACAUUGUAGGUGGUGUCUUACUGGUACUCCUCUUCAGGCAUGUCACAAAAAUUGCAUGUUAUUCUUCUAUUCAUUCACUUCACAGAAAAAUUUGUAAUUGAGAUCAUUGUUAUGGUUUGCGCUAAUUGUAAUAAUUACUUAUUGCUGCAAAAUAAUUUGGAAGACCUUUAUAGUC